rnacentral:rRNA from 1 species
GAUGAACGCUGGCGGCGUGCCUAAUACAUGCCAGUCGAGCGAACGGACGAGAAGCUUGCUUCUCUGAUGUUAGCGGCGGACGGGUGAGUAACACGUGGAUAACCUACCUAUAAGACUCGGAUAACUUCGGGAAACCGGAGCUAAUACCGGAUAAUAUUUUGAACCGCAUGGUUCAAAAGUGAAAGACGGUCUUGCUGUCACUUAUAGAUGGAUCCGCGCUGCAUUAGCUAGUUGGUAAGGUAACGGCUUACCAAGGCAACGAUGCAUAGCCGACCUGAGAGGGUGAUCGGCCACACUGGAACUGAGACACGGUCCAGACUCCUACGGGAGGCAGCAGUAGGGAAUCUUCCGCAAUGGGCGAAAGCCUGACGGAGCAACGCCGCGUGAGUGAUGAAGGUCUUCGGAUCGUAAAACUCUGUUAUUAGGGAAGAACAUAUGUGUAAGUAACUGUGCACAUCUUGACGGUACCUAAUCAGAAAGCCACGGCUAGCUACGUG